GUUUGAGUACCUCGUGUGUAGUGACUGUAGAUCUGCAGCGCUUCAGAACUUUCCCCGUUUCUCCUGGAUUCACACUCAGCCUGAUUCUACAGCAGCAGAUCCCCCUCUCUCAAAAACUUCACCAGCCUCCUUCAGUCCCCUCGUCAUCAUGAGCAGCGAAGACAAAAACAAAGAGGAGCGGAUCUCAGAGCCCGUCUCUGAACAGCCACGGUCAUCAUCGCCGUGUCCACCGUGUGACUGCUCAUGUGAUGGUGCAAAUCAGGUGUGCUCAUAUUCCUGUGAGAUGUGAGGGGCAGAGAGAGGCUGCAUUUGCGCAGAACCCAGAAUCCCUGCUGAAGUGGGAACAGUGCAUCUGCAAUCAGAAACAGCCCUACCUGGAAACCAGCUGAAGUCAAUAUACACACAAAUGCGUCUCGAAGUUCCUGCGUCUUACAUCUUUCUCUUCUUUUCCAUUUCAUUAGAUUUGUCUAAACUAUUGCUGUGUUAUGUGUGCGUUGUAUUGACCAGUAGUAACUCAUGCACCGAAGCUCCAAUGCGGAGUUUGAAGGAUGCUGGAGCUUCAGGACACUCAACUGGCUACUGGGAUGGAGCUUAGCGCCUGUGAGCGAUGAGGUCUCGGGAUUUGCUCCCGCUGGCCGCAGGAUGACCAUUUUACAUGAUAAAUUCGUCCCAUCAUACUGACAGCUAAAGACAAUCAACAUUAAGGGGGUGUACAUUACCGUUACUGUAUAUCUGUAUAAUUCAUCUCCAAAACAACAUCAUGUUCCAUGAAAUGGGUCCAUGAUUGUGACGCAUAACCAGGUUCUAGGAUGUUGCUGGGAUGAAUCUGACAAACGUUUCAUGAGGACAGAG